rnacentral:pre_miRNA from 1 species
UCAUAUAGGUGAGCAAAGAAAGUGGUUUCUUGAGACGGAAUCUACUCCCAGUGAAGACGCUAUGAG